GGGGCUUUGUGGGUCACUUUUAUUUUAAACGGACCGGUGCCAGAAACACUGCCUCAGCAUUUAUACGUAUGUGCAUUUCAAACGAGGGUGCGUACAAUGCUGGAUUUGUUUCACGGCUCCUCCGUCAUUCACUCACUGAAUUAAGUACAUGCUUGAUAUUUAUAAUGUUUUAAAAUGUUAAUUGGUCUGUUUAAAAUGUAGUAACCCAUGAGUGAGGCAAGUUAGUAGCUAGCUAUGCUAACGGCUACAGCCAGUCGACCCAGCCUUUGUCCCCUUCAAAUGAGCUUAUGUGGGCUCCUGCAGCCACACGACUGUGAUUAUCGGCAUCGAGCAGCGACAGGCAGGGAGCGGUCGGUGUAGCUUUUGGCCUUUUUCUGUAAUCUCAUACACCUGGGGGGAACAGCUGAUAGCUCUCAGCCUUCGAGCGGCGGCAGGGAGGGAGUUCUGGAUCUAGCUCAAUGUAGUAAGUUUGUGCUUGAUACUUGUGAUGUCUUAAUAUGUUAGUUGGUCUUUUUAAACUGUAGUAACCCACAUGUGAGACAAGCUAAUCGCUAGCGUUGCUAACGGCUACAGUGAGUCAACCGAGCCUCUGUCCCUUUUUAAAUGUGCUACUGAGUUGGCGCAAUCACACAUUUUGCACUUUAGAGCUACAGCUGGUCGAUCGCUAUAAUAAUGUUAGUUUCAUGUGUUAUAUUAUGUUAGUUAGUGAAUGCAAUAAUGUUAGUUCUCCUUUAAAGGAGACUGAUCAUACUUUUCAUUCUAAAGAAUAUUGGACUUCAAUGUCUCUGUAAGGUCUCUGUAAAUUUUCAUUCCAUAAAACCCUUUAGAUCGUCCACACUGCAAUGUGUGUUUUUCACUCCCCAUCAGUAAAAACUCUGGUUUGUGGGUGUGUCGCAAGCGAAGCUGCUCGCCACACCCCGUGCGGAAGCACACACCUUUUAUAUUUUUGUUGUUUUUUUUAAUUGGCUUCAUGGAUAAGAGCCACCGCACGGUUAGGAUACAAUAGGUGGCAGUAGUGCAACAUUGAGAAUGCAAUCCACCGCAGUCCUCCACAGAAGAAGACCCACUACAGGACUGCACAACAAUGGCCAGCUGGUUCGUAGCGUAGUAGAACCAUGCAUCUACGAUCCCGAAUCUGACCCUGAAGCUGAUGAGGAGGCUCUUGAAGUCACCACAUUUUGGCUGAUGCAAGAUGUGUCUCAGUGUUGUUACAGGUAUCUAGUCUACAGAGGCUUAUGAGCUGAUGCUGGGGAUUCCUGGGGUGAAGAAUCUGAGUUGCCAUCUCUUCAUGCUUGACAGACCAAGGAGGGGGGCUGCUGACAGUCGGCUGAUGAGGGUGUGAUAAGUGUGUGAUCAGCGUCAGAAAGGUGACUGACAGUCGACUGAAAUCAGCGAAAAUGAACCGCUCCAUCUGUACCACCACCACCACAGAGUCUCCUCAGCAGUGUGGAAUAACAGCAGACUGCCCUCUGCGAAAAUCCAUCACCAUCUCUUUUGUUCUCCCUGCGGUCAUCAGGAGGUGGUUCCGCUGACACCAGUCCACAAAGUCCUGAGUGAGUCCUCUGUAUUCUUCAUCGUGAUCAGGCUGACAAUUGCAGAGUCAUUAGAGAACUUCUGCAGAACACAGCUGUACAUGUUGUGCCUGAAGUCUGACGUAUAGAGGGAGAGAAUGAUUGAUUGGUGGUGUAAAUGUUAAUGGCUGCAUAGGGAGGGAGAACCAAAUGUUAACCUGUUUUUUUGGUGAGGGAUUCUGGUUGUCAAGGCAACUGAGGGGGAAACCCACACAGCUGCUGUCCAGCUAGUGUUACAUGUCAUGUGAGGGAACUGUGGUGUUCAAUGCCGCAUUUCAUAAGUUUCUACAGAGUUCUUAGUGACAUGUUGGUGUAAGUGACUUUAACUUCAAUUAAAUGCUUGUUGUACAGUUAUUAAUUAUGUUAUGACACUUUUACAAAAGGAUGAUUUAAUGACAAGAGUUUAUGUCUAGAAGCUUUAUGGUGUCAUUAUAUCAUGACAUAGGUAUUUUAGGGCCUUUUCCUUGACAAUUAUAUGACAUUAUUGCAGCGUUUAGAGGGUCUGGAGAGGGUCUGGAUAUUACUGGUGUAAUAUCAGGGUUGUUGCUUCUGAAAGGCUCCUGAGGUAUUAGGAGAGACCAGUGGCAGUCGCUGUAGAACAACAGGCUGGGUUUCAUAAUAUGAAAGGCCCAGUGCAGCCUUUACCUCAA